AUUGAACGCUGGCGGCAUGCUUUACACAUGCAAGUCGAACGGCAGCGCGGGCUUCGGCCUGGCGGCGAGUGGCGAACGGGUGAGUAAUACAUCGGAACGUGCCCAGUAGUGGGGGAUAGCUCGGCGAAAGCCGGAUUAAUACCGCAUACGACCUGAGGGUGAAAGCGGAGGAUCUUCGGACCUCGCGCUAUUGGAGCGGCCGAUGGCAGAUUAGCUAGUUGGUGGGGUAAAGGCCUACCAAGGCGACGAUCUGUAGCUGGUCUGAGAGGACGACCAGCCACACUGGGACUGAGACACGGCCCAGACUCCUACGGGAGGCAGCAGUGGGGAAUUUUGGACAAUGGGCGAAAGCCUGAUCCAGCAAUGCCGCGUGUGUGAUGAAGGCCUUCGGGUUGUAAAGCACUUUUGGCGGGAACGAAAAGGACUGUGCCAAUACCACGGUUCGAUGACGGUACCCGCAGAAUAAGCACCGGCUAACUACGUG
rnacentral:rRNA from 1 species